AUGCGUGCCAUUCUUGGGCUCCCUCCCCAGAUUGAAGGAAGGAAGAAAGGUAUACUGGGAUGCGCUGAGGAUGGUGAUGAAAUACUUCUAUGGGUGGGCCGCAGUGUCUAUAUGGUUCAACUUAAGUCAAUGCAGUCUAGGAAACUUUGUGAAAUCAGUCAUUUUACCUACUGUCAUUCUUUCAAGAGUUUCUAUCCUCCAGGUGAUUUUCAUCAAUUUAAUCUUGUUGUGUUCUCUACAUGGAUGUUUGUAUAUCUUCAUUGCUAUUCUUAA
rnacentral:rRNA from 1 species